rnacentral:sRNA from 1 species
GCAGGGCGUGGUGGCGCACACUUGUAAUCUUAGCAGCUUGGGAGGCUGAGGCAGGAGGAUCACAAGUUCAAAGUCAGUCUCAGCAAACUCAGUGAGACCCUGUCUCCA